rnacentral:rRNA from 1 species
UACCUGGUUGAUCCUGCCAGUAGUCAUAUGCUUGUCUUAAAGAUUAAGCCAUGCAUGUCUAAGUAUAAGCAUUUAUACCGCGAGACUGCGAACGGCUCAUUAAAACAGUUAUGGUUUAUUUGAUGGUUCCUUUGCUACUUGGAUAACCGUAGUAAUUCUAGAGCUAAUACAUGCACGAAGGGGCGACUCACGAAGCCCUGUAUUUAUUAGAUUAAAGCCAACCACCUCCGGGUGUUCGUGGUGAAUCAUAGUAACUUAUCGGAUCGCCGGCUCAACGCCAGCGACGUGUCAUUCAAAUUUCUGCCCUAUCAGCUUUAGAUGGUAGGAUAUGGGCCUACCAUGGCGGUGACGGGUAACGGAGAAUUAGGGUUCGAUUCCGGAGAGGGAGCCUGAGAAACGGCUACCACUUCUAAGGAAGGCAGCAGGCGCGCAAAUUACCCAAUCCUGACUCAGGGAGGUAGUGACAAGAAAUAACAAUAAACCGGCUUAUGCCGGUUUAAUUGGAAUGAGUACAAUUUAAACAUCUUAACGAGGAACAAUUGGAGGGCAAGUCUGGUGCCAGCAGCCGCGGUAAUUCCAGCUCCAAUAGCGUAUACUAAAGUUGUUGCAGUUAAAAAGCUCGUAGUUGGAUUUCUGUGUCGGGACACGCAAUGCGUGGCCAUAUCGGCCUAGCAUCAGCGGGUUCUUACACAUCCUGCCUUUACCCGCGCUGGCCUUCGUUGGUUGGCGAUGGCGAGGGGCUCGUUUACUUUGAGAAAAAUAGAGUGUUCAAAGCAGGCUUUGCGCCUUGAAUAACUUAGCAUGGAAUAAUGACAAAGGACCUCGGUUCUUUUUGUUGGUGUUCGGCACUGAGGUAAUGAUUGAUAGGGACAGUUGGGGGCGUCAGUAUUUCGAGGCUAGAGGUGAAAUUCAUAGAUUCUCGAAAGACUAGCAGAUGCGAAAGCGUUCGCCACGGAUGUACUCUUUGAUCAAGAACGAAAGUUGGGGGAUCGAAGACGAUCAGAUACCGUCGUAGUCUCAACUAUAAACUAUACCAGCUAGGGAUCGGGCAACGCCGCAAUCCAGAAGGCUUGCUCGGCACCUUAUGAGAAAUCAAAGCAUUUGGGUUCCGGGGGGAGUAUGGUCGCAAGGCUGAAACUUAAAGGAAUUGACGGAAGGAGCACCACCAGGUGUGGAGCCUGUGGCUUAAUUUGACUCAACACGGGAAAACUUACCAGGUCCAGACAUAGUAAGGAUUGACAGAUUGACAGCUCUUUCUUGAUUCUAUGGGUGGUGGUGCAUGGCCGUUCUUAGUUGGUGGAGUGAUUUGUCUGGUUAAUUCCGUUAACGAACGAGACCCCAGCCUGCUAAAUAGUGUGGCUUUGCCUUUGCGCAAGGCACGCGCUUCUUAGAGGGACUGCGAUCGCGCUUCAAGCCCGAGGAAGUUUGGGGCAAUAACAGGUCUGUGAUGCCCUUAGAUGUUCUGGGCCGCACACGGGCUACACUGACGCGUGCAACGAGCAUAUCAGCUGGCUUGAGAGAGUCUUGGCUAAUCUUUUGAACUCGCGUCGUGCUUGGGAUAGACUUUUGCAAUUGUGAGUCUUGUAACGAGGAAUACCUUGUAAACGCGAGUCAUCAACUCGCAUUGAAUACGUCCCUGCCCUUUGUACACACCGCCCGUCGCUCCUACCGAUGAAUGUUCCGAUGAAAUUUUCGGAGCUCGGCGCUUUUGCGGCGCUUGCGUCGCAGUCUGCUGCUGUGCGAAGUCACUUAAAUCUGAACAUUUCGAGGAAGGAGAAGUCGUAACAAGGUUUCCGUAGGUGAACCUGCAGAAGGAUC